UUCUCGAUCGGAUGGUGUGGUAUUUUGUGCGUGAGUUUUUCCCUACUUUAUAAGUUCUGGGCUUUCCGAGUGAUAGCUUUGCAUUGCAAUUAUCGUUUAAAAGGAUAACUAUCGGUUCUUGUUAGGUUGGAAUAUUGCGUAGAAAGUAAUUCAUUAAAUAGUGCGGUUAAAGCCAGUGGUUGUUCACUUAUAUACGCCUUCAUUAAUGUUCGGGUGCCGUAAAAUGCGGUGCUUCCAUAGCUUGGCGUGGGUUUUCUAAUGGUGAAAUUAGUGAUUCCCGAGUGAAAACUCUCUGCCGCGUUUGCAGUAUUUUCAGUAGGGUUCAAAAAGACGUUAGGGCGGCUUUUUAGUGAAAUUUGUAUAGAAAUCGUCGAUGUAGCUUCUAGAAGUGGUAAAAACGCCUUCUACGCUUGGGUUUGAUGGCAUGGGAAAAACGUGCUUUUUUUUCGUCCAAGUUGCCUCGCCUCGUUUUUGGCUGACCAGCGGAAACUGACAAAAUGGUGCGCUUUUUCGCAGUAUAUUCUUGUGGCUUUGUGUUUAAAAUGAAAUCAAAUCACAGGAGUAUACUGUGAGAGAUCGUCGGGACCUUCUCAGCUGGUUAAUCAGGAUUAAAAUGCCGUAAAAGACUCGCAGCACAACAGAUACCAAGCCGUCGGGGCCACGACUUGCGCCGGAUGUGACAUCCAGCUGUCUUAUAUGUACAUCCAGCAGCCUGCUUCUUCUUUGUCGUCAUAUCGCCCAUUCAUUGAUCGAGAAUGUGGAAUGGCUAGAUGGAUGGAUUGGAUGAUGGGUGGAUGAGCCAUCAACACACAAACACAUCCAAAACAACAAUCCGGUUCAGGUAGUCGCCGUUGAAUUUUUCCUUCCCCCUGGCCUACUGCUGGCUGAUGGAAGAACGCAAUGGGAAAACAACAAAGUACAAGAAGCGGAAGACGAUGAAAACGUCACAUUACCCAGAUGAGAACACGUGUUGUGUGAGAAAAGGGAAAAUGGCGGGAUUUUCUGGAAUCUCAAUCGGACUGAUAGUACUGAAAGUCGCACUACUAGCUGAUAAGCUUAUUGAUUCGCGAGUAUAUCGUACGAUAAAGGCGCUAAAUCGGGUUCGAUGUUUUCGGCGAAUAAAAAAAAAAUCA